rnacentral:rRNA from 1 species
AUUGAACGCUGGCGGCAGGCUUAACACAUGCAAGUCGAACGAGUGGCGGACGGGUGAGUAAUGCUUGGGAAUCUAGCUUAUGGAGGGGGAUAACUACGGGAAACUGUAGCUAAUACCGCGUACCAUAGGAUGAGCCCAAGUGGGAUUAGGUAGUGGGUGAGGGAAAGGCUCACCAAGCCGACGAUCGCUAGCUGGUCUGAGAGGAUGACCAGCAACACUGGGACUGAGACACGGCCCAUACUCCGACGGUAGGCAGCAGUGGGGAAUAUUUCACAAUGGGCGCAAGCCUGAUGCAGCCAUGCCGCGUGUAUGAAGAAGGCCUUCGGGUUGUAAAGUACUUUCAGUCGGGAUGCGUUACCGACAGAAGAAGCACCGGCUAACUCCGUGCCAGCCGCCGCGGUAAUUC